GUGCUGGCUUUGGCAACACAUAUACUAAAAUUGGAAAGAGACAGAGAAGAUUAGCAUGUCAUCUGCACAAGGAUGACAUGCAGAUUUGUGAAGUGUUACAUAUUUAA